GUUCUAGAACAUUCUCAUCACCCAUAUUUACAUUUAUUUUUAAUAACUCUCAUGUGUAAGCUGAGUGUUUUAAACUUUAGAAACUUCUGGGGGUUGCUGAACUUGAUAAAAAUAUUCAGUAUACAAGUGUUCUUUAUAGUUCACUCAUCAUUUUCAUAGAAUUAGGGUUUUAAAAUUAGAAAGUAAUUCAGGCCAUUUCCAUCUCCUGUCCCUCAAAUCCCAGCUCAGUUUUGGGAUGAGGUGUCAAGUAUAAGUUUGUAAGUACACCAGUCAUUUGCACGGCUAAGAUAAACAUCUAGAGAAGUCUGUAUACGACUUGCUUAAAGCUGAAUGUUGAUUUACUGUUCACAUGAUUUGGGAGAUUUUAGUCACUGGGACUGAGCUAAUGGAGUUGAAGCAUUGUUGUGGGCAUUGUAUCUCCAGACCAGUGUGUAAUACAAAGAGUUCUUGCAGACGUAGGACAGAAUUGGAGAAACAGCUUCUAACAGUGGGAAGACUCUCAGUACAACCAAGCUAUUCCUUACCUUUCUGAUUUCUGAACUUUUUUCCAUGUGAUACCUGCUGCUUUGAAGGCACUAAAAUAACAGAAGCAGAUAGAGCAGAAAUCCUCACUCAGAUCUUCCUCCUUCCUACCUGUAUAACAGUUUGUGGCUUGCCCUGUCUGUUUUGUGUGUUUCGUUACGCGUAUGUGAGUAUGUGCACAUGAUUUCCAGAAAGGAGAAGUGCACGAUACUGCCCGUGCUCUGUGACUCCUGAGUGCACGCUUCCUCUGCAUUUGGGCUCCUAGGUCGGCCUCGUCCUGUGGACGUUGCCCCUUGUUUCGUGCCAUCCACACAUUCCUGAUGCCCCCCUGCUCUCCUCUUUCUCCAGAGUACUUUUUCCAAACAUGUGACUUGCACAUUUGUUAUGUUUAUUGUUUGUUUUCCACUUGUAGAAGUGUGCCGCUAGGCAGGAAUGUUUGAUUUGUUCACUGAUGAUCCCAGAUCUCUAGAACCCUGCCUUGCCUGUAGAGGGUGCUUGGUAAAUAAUGCUCUGAAUGAAUGGCUCCAUGAUCCUCGUUUCUAAGAGCUAGCACGAUUUCUCACUCAGUCCUGGUUGGACACAGGUUCCCUGGAACAGUGCUGUCGUGGUUAUCUUCUCACGUGUCUUUGUUUCUGAAUUUGAAACGCUUUGAGUUUUUUAUUGUUUUUGUUCUUCCUCAUUAGUUUGAGUCCCUUGCAGAUAGGCUUUCAUUUUGUCCAGUCACCUGUUCAGGGAGCCCUGAGGGCCUUGGCCCACGUCUGCAGGUAACUGGUUUUCUUACUUUUAUUUUUUUAUUUUGAGAUGAAGUCUCGCUCUGUCACCAGGCUGGAGUGCAGCGGUGCGAUCUCAGCUCACUGCAACCUCCGCCUCCUGCGUUCAAGCGAUUCUCCUGCCUCAGCCUUCCGAGUAGCUGGGACUAUAGGCACGUGCCACCACGCCCGGCUAAUUUUUUGUAUUUUUAGUAGAGACGGGGUUUCACCAUAUUAGCCAGGAUGGUCUCGAUCUCCUGACCUCGUGAUCCGCCUGCCUGGGCCUCCCAAAGUGCUGGGAUUACAGGUGUGAGCCACCGCGCCCAGCCCUGCAGGUAACUGUUAAUGUAGGAAGUGCUGCCUCUGGGCACCUUGGCCCCAGGGUUCAUUAGCAGUUGCCCCUGGUGGGUUUUUGUUGGCUGUGAUGAGAAGUGCUUCUGUUCCCCCUCCACCACACUCCUGCAACUGUUUAAACAGUGGCUGUGACCCCCUGAGAUGAUCCAGGGUUUCAAGGCGUGCACACGUCUGUGUUUCGGUUUUCAGAAGUAUCACCUUGGGGUGACUCUCAACCUACAUGGAUUUUCAAAGAUUUAUUCAAUGUGUUUUUCAGAAAGUGUUGUGAAGAGCGAAGACUUUUCGCUCCCAGCUUAUAUGGAUCGGCGUGACCACCCCUUGCCGGAGGUGGCCCAUGUCAAGCACCUGUCUGCCAGCCAGAAGGCCUUGAAGGAGAAGGAGAAGGCCUCCUGGAGCAGCCUCUCCAUGGAUGAGAAAGUCGAGUGUGGGUAUUGAAGGGACCCACAGGCGCGCCCAGCAGCUCUCAGAAGUGUGUGUGUGACAGAGCCUCUGCUCACUUCUGGGCCUACUGUCUAGAGAGCAGUCUUGCACAGGAGGGUUGCUCUGCUGGGUUUCGGGGUCACUGUCCCAGGGCCCUAGUUUAUGUGCUCACCAGUCACUUAGCUCUGCCAGCUGACAGGAUCUUUUGCUAGGCCCCCUUCUCUGUGCUGAGUGGAGGUACCCUCUCAGCAUAUCUGCUGGGUAAGACAUUGUUAACUGUAAAUUAUUGAAAGAAACUCAGCAAAAUGCAUAGUGUUUGGUAUGAAAGGGGCAGAAAAAUAACAAGAUUAAAUAGACCCUAAUACUGUAAUUCAAGUAAGAAAUAAUUUUGCAGUUUUAAUUUGCACCUGAAGCGAACUGUAUGCAUUUUCUUCCUUCCUUGCCCUGUCACAUGCCUGCGUGGGCACGUGUGUGCACGUACGUGCAUGAACAUGAUGUGGCCUGGGUUGGUGUAUCCUUCAGCUCUGUGUUUCCUCCUUCACAAGUGUGGUUUUGGGGAGAAGUGGUUGAAUGUUGCAGAGGAGGGAGCUGCUGACCUUUGUGCCUGUAAAUGGCUGUCCUCUCUGCCCCCAGUGUAUCGCAUUAAGUUCAAGGAGAGCUUUGCUGAGAUGAACAGGGGCUCGAACGAGUGGAAGACGGUUGUGGGCGGUGCCAUGUUCUUCAUCGGUUUCACCGCGCUCGUUAUCAUGUGGCAGAAGCACUAUGGUGAGUAGAGAGGGAGGAAGGCAUGGGCGCCUGGACUGGGGCUCCAGCCUGCAGUGCCCAUUGGUGGGCUGCGGGGGACCUCCACACCCUGAGGCCAUGAGAUAGGGACUGCAUUCCAGAGUUCAUCUCAGGAUUGUUUCCAGGCCUUGGUGACCUGGAGAACUGAAGUCGUGGGAGGUUAGUUUAUAAGCCAGCAUCUGAUUAUUCAUAGCCAUGCUUGUUGGGUGGUGAAAUACCUUAACUACUUUGUACGGCACACCAUGUUUUCAGGAGCAAUUUAUGUGCUCGCCAGUCACUUAGCAAAAGAUGACUUCGUGAAGGUUCGAGCAAGGAUAAGGGGACUCAUUCAUUUAAUGACUGUCUCGACUGUUGUGAGGACUGCAUCUCAACAGCCUGCAUCUGGGGGUCCCGACCUGAUAGUUUGUGUGUGGGCAUUGCCGGGUUGCUCGCUCGUGGUAAUGACUCUUCCCCGAGGUUCUUUCUGUCCAGGCAGAACAGGCAUUUUUGCAUUCUGAAUAGGUAUAUUCUCGUACUUUUGGUUUGAAUGUGGAUGUGGGUUAAUAACAGACCCGAAUCUAUUUGAUCUUCCAGGUCACCUUGGGCUCUGUUUGUCAGAUCCUGUUAUCCAUAGCCUUUAGAGAAGACCUUCUGCUUUUAGCUUAUUUUGUUGCUAACUUUUUACAAACAAAGGGCUAAUUUUAAAAUGUCAGUGUUGUCAGUGGUCAGAAACCGUGUGUUUGAGCGGGUGUUGAGUGGCAGGUGGCUCUGCUGACCUGGUGGCUGGUGUGUUGGGAGGAUUUAACCUGUGUGAGGGAUUGGCCUAGAAACAACCUGUUGAGAUAGUCUUGCCCCAUAACCUGUCUCACACCAUAGUGUACGGCCCCCUCCCGCAAAGCUUUGACAAAGAGUGGGUGGCCAAGCAGACCAAGAGGAUGCUGGACAUGAAGGUGAACCCCAUCCAGGGCUUAGCCUCCAAGUGGGACUACGAAAAGAACGAGUGGAAGAAGUGAGAGAUGCUGGCCUGCGCCUGCACCUGCGCCUGGCUCUGUCACCGCCAUGCAACUCCAUGCCUAUUUACUGGAAACCUGUUAUGCCAAACAGUUGUACCACUGCUAAUAAAUGACCAGUUUACCUGAAA
rnacentral:sRNA from 1 species